rnacentral:rRNA from 1 species
UGAACGCUGGCGGUAGGCCUAACACAUGCAAGUCGAACGGCAGCACAGUAAGAGCUUGCUCUUACGGGUGGCGAGUGGCGGACGGGUGAGGAAUACAUCGGAAUCUACUUUUUCGUGGGGGAUAACGUAGGGAAACUUACGCUAAUACCGCAUACGACCUACGGGUGAAAGCAGGGGAUCUUCGGACCUUGCGCGAUUGAAUGAGCCGAUGUCGGAUUAGCUAGUUGGCGGGGUAAAGGCCCACCAAGGCGACGAUCCGUAGCUGGUCUGAGAGGAUGAUCAGCCACACUGGAACUGAGACACGGUCCAGACUCCUACGGGAGGCAGCAGUGGGGAAUAUUGGACAAUGGGCGCAAGCCUGAUCCAGCCAUACCGCGUGGGUGAAGAAGGCCUUCGGGUUGUAAAGCCCUUUUGUUGGGAAAGAAAAGCAGCAGGUUAAUACCCCGCUGUUCUGACGGUACCCAAAGAAUAAGCACCGGCUAACUUCGUGC